UGGGAAAGAAAAUGCUGCUUCCUGGUAACUCCAGGCAAGGUCCCGAAUCCGGUCAAGAGACACCCAAUAGCAACAUCUGUGCUUGAUUUCCUGUAGAGACACCCAAUAGCAACAUCAGAGAGGCAAUUUUUUUUUUGCACAAAUACAGUACAGAGCUAUUUGAACUUGAAGAUCACUGGCAUAUAUGUGGUGAUCGGAUUGUGGAUGAAGUUGCCUAGACAGAGGACGUACGGAAGAUGAGGAUCUAGAAGGAAGCUGCAAGAAGCCCUGCAUUUCACGGCCAAGUGGAAGAGAAGAACUUGCAGAGCAGAUAGAACAGAAGCAGGGGACAUUUGGCACUUUCUGCUUUGUAACUCAGCAGAUUUGGAGGAUUUUCUUAUUUACCUUAGAGCUUGAAGAGCAACUUAAGAUUCGUCCUGUUUUUACUGCUUGAACAGUUAGUUACCAGUGAGGCUACAAGGAGAAGUCAUCCAUUUGCAACCUGGAAGAGAGCUCGCACCAGAACCAGACCAUGCUGGCACCCUGAUCUUGAACUUCCAGCCUCCAGAACCUACAGCUGAAAUACCUGGAUGUUAUAUAGAAACAAAACACAAGCAGACUCUGAAAGGAGAGAAGAAGAUGAACUGACUAGGUACCUAGGUACCCAAGGAACAGGAACGGCAUGGUGAUACUGUGUUUCUUGCAAAUUGAAAGUUUGUGGCAAAACUGCAUCGAGCAAACCUAUUGGUGCCAUUUCCCAGCAGCAUUAUUUUUUAAUUAAGAAAAUGGCAGAAUAGGAAGCUCCAAGCUCUUGUUCUCCCCAGGGAGCCAUCAAACAACUAAAAACUGGGCUAAAUUAACCUUACAAGAACUCUGGAUAGAAGGCCUACACCAACCAAGUGAACAGCCCAUCAAGAAAAAGCCACAUCAUAAAGCUAAGAAGAAGCUCCAACAUGCAGUUGACAGACCAUGCUCUUAGAUUAAGGGAUACUUUAGUUCCCAGAUGCCACUAACAGACUGUAUGAGCUCAGCAAAUGAAUUAUCUUGAUGGCUGAGAGGUGAAAACAAUCCAGUCUUGCUGACAGGAACCCAGUCAGCGGGGAUUCUGAGGCUGACUUUCACUGUGGAGCUCCAUUCUACUCUGGAAUCGCUGCUGUUUUGGUGGGACCCCAGUGUCUUCCUUGCUAACUCCAGCUGAGAAAUCCCGAUUUCUCACUUUUCUGGGCUAACACCAAGGUUGAAAAACAGAAACUUGAUCAGUACGUAGUAAAACUAUGGUACUACAUGAUCCUCAGUUGGUUGAAUGUGGGAAUAGAAAGGAACCUCGGAUAUGGAGGGCCAACUAUACGUCAUACAAAAUUUUCAACAGCAUAGAGGAUCUCAGGACAGAAAGAUCUCAAGACCUAUAUUUCCUUUUAGUGUUAGCACCAUCUACGGUUGUUAGGAGAGCUGUCAAUCUCUUCUUAAUAUGUUCAAGUCCUUUGGAGGAAAGCCCACGCCAAAGGGGAAAACCACAGGGGAAAAUUUCUGGAGCUGAUUAUAUAGACGGCUGCACAGUAGUCAAAGGAGGUGGAUCAAAAAAACAAACAACCCAAUCAAAAAAUGGGAGGAAGAUCUAAAUAGACACUCUCCAAAGAAGACAUACAGAUGGCCAAGAGGCACAUGAAAAGAUGCUCAACAUCACUAAUUAUUAGAGAAAUGCAAAUCAAAACUACAAUGAGGUAUCACCUCACACCAGUCAGAAUGGUCAUCAUCAAAAUCUACAAACAAUAAAUGCUGGAGAGGGUAUGGAGAAAAGGGAGCUCUCCUACACUGUUGGUGGGACAGUAAAUUGGUGCAGCCACUAUGGAGAACAUAUGGAGAUUCCUUAAAAAACUAAAAAUAGAACUACCAUGAUCCAGCAAUCCCACUCCUGGGCAUAUAUCUGGAGAAAACCAUAAUUUGAAAAGAUACGUGUACCCCGAUGUUCAUUGCAGCACUAUUUACAAUAGCCAGGACAUGGAAGCAACCUAAAUGUCCAUCGACAUAGGAAUGGAUAAAGAAGAUGUGGUACAUAUAAACGGAAUAUUACUCAGCCAUAAAAAAGAAUGAAAUAAUGCUAUUUGCAGUGACACAGAUGGACCUAGAGACUGUCAUACUUUGUCAGUGAAGUCUGACAAAGACAAAUAUCAUAUGAUAUCACUUGUAUGUGGAAUCUAAAAAAAUGGUAUGAAUGAACCUAUUUACAAAACAGAAAUAGAG